AGCGAAUUUGAGGGACUGUGGAAGAUACAGAACUCGUACCCAGAUGAGGAGUCGAGGGAAAAACACGAAACACUUUCAAUUUUUUUCUUUUUACUUUAUUCAACCGAACUCCCAACCAAUCAAAUCAUAUACAUAAUUUACAGUACACAAGGUCAAUUACCACAGAGGAUAUGUUCAAGUACAAAAAAAUUAAAUCUAUCUAAUUAUUAAUUAUUUUCGAUAAAAAUGCUUAUGUUUUGUUGACGACGUAUUUGUAAAAAUACAUAUUUUGAAUAUAUAGUCACAGUUCACUAAAUAUAUUAGCUGAUGAAUUAGCAGGGUACGUUAUUAAUAUAUGAAAUGUUUUUUAUCAUAUAGCAUUUGAUUAUGUAUUUGGUUUCAUUUCGUAUUUCAUUAUAUAUAUAUAUAUUUCAAUAUAUAGUUUUCGUUUUACCUAAAAAAAUCAGGUGGUGAGUAAUUUUCUCAAUUACUCACCACCUGAUGAUUCCUAUACGGAUGAAACAGACUGUUGUGGUUUUUUGAGGUAAAACGAAAAACUAUAUUACGUUCUAUCUAUAUGGUAUUGAGCACUGUUUGUGUUUCGUAAACCGAAAACUUAAGCUAUUUCAAUAUAUAUAUAUAUAUAUAUAUAUAUAUAUAUA